GGAGAAUUACUCAAGAGGCUGAAGAGGACGGUUUGCUAAAUCGUUAGGUCGGAUAACCGGCGCGGGGGUUCGAAUCCCCCAUUCUCCG
rnacentral:tRNA from 1 species